GAUUAACGCUGGCGGCGUGCAUAACACAUGCAAGUCGAACGAUGAAACUUAACUGAUUUCUUCGGAAUGACUUUAAGUGGAUUAGUGGCGGACGGGUGAGUAACGCGUGAGUAACCUGCCUUGGAGAAGGGGAUAGCCUUUGGAAACGAAGAAUAAUACCCUAUGAUAUGAUAAUAUCUCAUGAUAUUAUCAUCAAAGAUUUAUCGCUCUAAGAUGGACUUGCGUCUGAUUAGUUAGUUGGUGAGGUAACAGCUCACCAAGGCAGCGAUCAGUAGCCGGCUUGAGAGAGUGUACGGCCACAUUGGGACUGAGACACGGCCCAGACUCCUACGGGAGGCAGCAGUGGGGAAUUUUGCACAAUGGGGGAAACCCUGAUGCAGCGACGCCGCGUGAUUUAGAAGGCCUUCGGGUUGUAAAAAUCUUUUGUAUGGGAAGAAAAUGACAGUACCAUACGAAUAAGGACCGGCUAAUUACGUG
rnacentral:rRNA from 1 species